rnacentral:rRNA from 1 species
AGAGUUUGAUCCUGGCUCAGGAUGAACGCUGGCGGCGUGCCUAAUACAUGCAAGUCGAGCGAAUGGAUUAAGAGCUUGCUCUUAUGAAGUUAGCGGCGGACGGGUGAGUAACACGUGGGUAACCUGCCCAUAAGACUGGGAUAACUCCGGGAAACCGGGGCUAAUACCGGAUAACAUUUUGAACUGCAUGGUCCGAAAUUGAAAGGCGGCUUCGGCUGUCACUUAUGGAUGGACCCGCGUCGCAUUAGCUAGUUGGUGAGGUAACGGCUCACCAAGGCAACGAUGCGUAGCCGACCUGAGAGGGUGAUCGGCCACGCUGGGACUGAGACACGGCCCAGACUCCUACGGGAGGCAGCAGUAGGGAAUCUUCCGCAAUGGACGAAAGUCUGACGGAGCAACGCCGCGUGAGUGAUGAAGGCUUUCGGGUCGUAAAACUCUGUUGUUAGGGAAGAACAAGUGCUAGUUGAAUAAGCUGGCACCUUGACGGUACCUAACCAGAAAGCCACGGCUAACUACGUGCCAGCAGCCGCGGUAAU